rnacentral:lncRNA from 1 species
CACAAUUUCAGUAUUUGUUAUUUGAGGAGGCAGAGGCCAUAUUUGCUCCCAGGUGAUGAAUAAUUAAUAAGAAAUCACACAGGUGUUCUCAGAACAGAGGAUCCUUUCUGUUCAGCUGGAACUUCUUUUCUUGUGUGCAAGGAAGAUUAAUCAGGUAUAGCUCAGGAAUGCCUUUAGCAUCCUACACAAUGAGGGUUUCUUGCAUUUAAAAAAGCUCUACUAGUGCCUCGGUAUUGAAUUUACAUAUCAGCCUAUGAAGGAGCUGUGAAGUGCUUUAGUCUUCAAAUUGCUAUGGAUUCAUUGCCUUUCUUUGAAAGGUGAAAAUUAUUAAUCUGGAUCACAAGAAGGCUCGGAUUUUUGGAACUGGGAUAAUCUCAUGCAACUGAAGAUGUACAUGAGGUAGGUGUCAUUUGAGAAAUAGCUUAUUUGAAAUAGUCUUUUAUGCUGCCUU